rnacentral:rRNA from 1 species
UACAGAGGGGGCAAGCGUUGUUCGGAAUUACUGGGCGUAAAGGGCGCGUAGGCGGCCUUCUAAGUCGAACGUGAAAUCCCCGGGCUCAACCCGGGAACUGCGUCCGAUACUGGAAGGCUUGAAUCCGGGAGAGGGAUGCGGAAUUCCACGUGUAGCGGUGAAAUGCGUAGAGAUGUGGAGGAACACCAGUGGCGAAGGCGACUCUUUGGCCUGUAACUGACGCUGAGGCGCGAAAGCGUGGGGAGCAAACAGG